UUCAGAUUUGCCCUUGGCCCCACUCAGCCUGAUCACUGUGUUUCCCUGACACCAGGUCAGCUGAAGCAGCUGUCUAUCCUGAAAGUGGACCAGAAUCGCCUGUGUGAGGUGACUGAGGCCAUUGGUGACUGUGAGAACCUCUCUGAGCUGAUCCUCACAGAGAAUCUGCUAACGGUAGGCAACCCUGGCUACCAGGCAGAGAGGUGCUCAGUUCCUAAGUUGUCCUCAGCGUCAUCUUGAGACGAUGGGGCCUGGAGUGUGUAGGGUACAGUGAGAGUGCCAGCACACAGCAAGAGCCGAAGGGGCUGCUAGCACCGUAUGUGUUGCGUGCUAGCAGAUGCUGGUGGCCAGGCUUGUUGGGGUCUGUGUCCCCUGCUGGGGCAAACUCAGGUGGAGAAUACUUUGGGUCAAAGAGGGAGCUCCCUGGUAGGCGCCAGGGCAGGGUGGGGUCUGUGGGCCAGGGCAGGGCCCUCCCAGGUGGAGUAGAGAGCUAAGGUCCUGUUUUACAUAGUGUGUGUUGUGCUGGGCAAGGGCCAGAGGGGAGGACCGGUAAGAACGGGUCUGAUUUUGGAAUGGAUGUGGAUCCGGACAGGGGGGCUGCUUUUCAGGUACAUCUGUUCCUUGCAAAGCGGGACAGAGGAAAGUUUAUGGAAUAUGGUUGGAGUGGUUACCAACCUUGCUACCAUCUGGUGGACAAGGCAUCUGGACCGCCCCUUCACACAGGAUGUCCUGUUUUACGUAGUGUGUGUUGUGCUGGGCGAGGGCCAGAGGGGAGGACCGGUAAGAAUGGGUCUGAUUUUGGAAUGGAUGUGGAUCUGGACAUGGGGUCUGCCUUUCAGGUCCAUCUGUUCCUUGCAAAGCGGGACAGAGGAAAGUUUAUGGAAUGGGGUUGGAGUGGUUACCAACCUUGCUACCAUCUGGUGGGCAAGGCAUCUGGACCGCCCCUUCACACAGGAUGUCUGUAUCUCAGUGAGGAGAAAAGAGAGCAGCGAGGCCAAGGGGCAGACAGAGCAGGAGCUGGCCCAUGCAUCAGAGGGGCCCAUAGGCACCUAGCCCUGAAAUGUCUGCACCAGGGUACCUGCAGGAGAGGUCCAUGGACAGUGUAGUCAGAAGUUUUGGGUGGCCUGACUGGGUUUGGUGCCAGCGCGCAGGCGGGUACAGAGCGAGGGAUAUAGCUUAAUUCUACAUCCCUGAUUCCCAGAGGCCAUGGGGAUCCCCGGCUAAAGCUGAUCAUGAUUUCCAUUAUCCUUAAUUUGCCCCAAAGGAUUCUCGUCUUCUUUCUUCAUACCCCAGGGGUCUUCUGCUGACCUCUGACCCCUUUUUCUCCUGGCCAGGCCCUGCCCCACUCUCUGGGCAAGUUGACCAAGCUCACCAACCUCAAUGUGGACCGGAAUCACCUCGAGGCGCUACCACCUGAGAUCGGAGGCUGUGUGGCACUCAGUGUUCUCUCUUUGAGGGACAAUCGCCUGGCAGUCCUGCCUCCUGAGCUCGCCCGCACGGCCGAGCUGCACGUGCUUGAUGUAGCUGGGAACCGGUGAGUGUCCACCUGGCCCUUGGGCACUGGUCGUGUCCCUAGCACACACUGACUAUGCCCACCUGGCCCAGGCUACGGAGUCUGCCGUUCGCGCUCACUCACCUCAACCUCAAGGCACUGUGGCUGGCUGAGAACCAGGCGCAGCCCAUGCUGCGGUUCCAGACUGAGGACGAUGCCCAGACUGGCGAGAAGGUGCUCACCUGCUACCUGCUGCCCCAGCAGCCUCUGCCCAGCCUCGGUAGGUUGCUGGCAGCUGUGGCUUUGACUGGGUGGACAAGGCUCGGGGCCAGCCUAGGCCUCUGAUGUUUGUCUCCUGCAGAGGACUCUGGGCAACAGGGGAGCCCCUCAGAAAGCUGGAGUGAAGCCCCUCUGAGCCGAGUCAGCGUCAUCCAGUUCCUGGAGGCCCCUGAGGGUGACGAGGAUGCUGAGGAGGCCGCUGCUGAAAAGCGGGUAUGGGGGGCAUGGGGACCCUGGGUGUGCCUGCUCCUCGCCCCUGCCUGACCCCUGCCCUGCCUCUGUCCUUCAUCCCUGUCCCCGACACAGGGCCUGCAGCGUCGGGCCACUCCCCACCCCAGCGAGCUGAAGGUGAUGAAGAGGGGAGUGGAAGAGCGCCGCAGUGAGGCCUGCCUUUGCACACCAGGCCCUGGCCCGUCCUCACCCACAGAGGAGGUAGGCGCGACGGCGGCACCUGGCACAUAGCUCCCCCCAGCUCCCAGCCACCAAACCCUGGAUGGAGCAUCUGUUCUCAGAGUGGGGCUCGGGGAGCAGCCUGGGGGAGCUAUGAGAGGCUGAGGUGCAGGGCAGACUGGGUGCGGGGAGCUCGUGCAGUGUGCGUAUUGGGACCAGAGUAGGGUGCUCAGGGCCUGCGCCAGUCACGUGCUGGUGACACAGGAUGGCGGUCUGGGAAGGGGUAGGACCUCUUCCCCGGGCACUUGUGUGGCUACCUGGACAUGGUCAGUACUGGGGAGGGGUCUGGUGCUACAGCAGAGCGGGCUUGGCGCGCUCAACUGACAUCAGGAUCUGGGAGCAUUUUUGAUCCUUGAGAGCAGCAGAAGCAGCGAGUGGGAUGGUGAGCAGAGGGCAUGCGCUGGCUGGCAGGGCCACCUGCCCCUGGCUAGGGGAGCCUCACGUCAGGCCCAUAUCUUCAUGGGAAUUUGUAUGGUCCUCAUUCCUCCACUUUUUGGGAGAGCCGUUCCUAGGGGCUGGGCUGCAUAAAUGUGAUUUUGUGUUUCAGUAGCUCUGGAGGCUCAGUUUCCAGGGGCCUGGGGCUACUGCAGGGUUGAGCCUGCUGGGGAUGCUGUGCUUGGGAUAGCCCAGGCAGAGGGCCUGUGGGCAGCCUGAUACCACUGUCUGCAGCAGGAAAAGAGGCUGAGUGCAGAGUCAGGCUCCAGUGGAGGCUCUGGCCCACCCACCAGCACAGCCUCUGAGGGCGAGCCUGAGGGUCCGGCAGCUGAGGCACAGCAGGAAGCCACACCACCCAGCCAGGAGGAAGACACAGAGGAAGACUACGUUGAGGUGAGGAUGGUCAGGGAGAAGGUGGGCCAGGCUUUAGCAGCUAGAGUAUAGACUGCCUGCCUUGUGCCCCAGCCAAGCAGGUGUGUGAUUAGGGUUGAUUUCCACGUGGACGGUCACCAGGCUGUGGCAGACAAUGGCCAGACAAGAGUGGAGUGUAGGGCAGGAUUCCCUUAACAGAGCUGGGCAAAGGAGUAGGGAUGGGGUGAUAGUCCUGGGUGCAGGCAACAUGUUGCAGGAGUUUCCUGGAGGAUGCAGGCUGGUGUAAGGGUUCCCACCCCACAGCCAGGUUCAGCAGUGUCAGGUCCAUCAUCUACUUACUGUCCCCAAAUGGCCCCCUUUUCUGACCCCUGUAGGUACUCCAUUGGUCUUUGCGUAUCAUAAAGUCUCCACCUGUGUGCUCUGUGUCUAUAGAAAGAGCGUCCUCGCCCCUCGUCUUCUGGGGCUGGUGGUUGUGUGUCUCUUACCAAAAGUGUCCUGAGUCCCUGUCCUUGGCACAACAGGGAGCCUCCCUGAGACUCUGGGGUGUACCCAGCUACAAAGCCUGGCUCCCUGGAAGAAGAGGGGGGUCUGGGCCUUGCUCCCACCCUUGUGUUCUCAUCCGCACAGCCCACAGUACACUUUGCAGAGGAUACACUGCUGCCCGGUGAAGAUGGCGAGAGUGAGGAGGGGCAGCUUGAGGCCCCCUGGCCCCUGCCAGGUGGGAGGCAGCGGCUCAUUCGCAAGGACACACCCCACUACAAGAAGCACUUCAAGAUCUCUAAGCUUCCGCAGCCUGAGGCUGUCGUAGCCCUUCUGCAGGGGAUGCAGCCCGACGGGGAGGGCCCUGCAGGGCCUGGUACCUGGCACAAUGGCCCCCACAUGCCCUGGGCUCCUCGGGCCCAGGAGGAGGAGGAGGAGGAGGAGGAGGAGGAGGAGGAAGACAGGGCUGAGGAGGAAGGCGAGGCCACUACAGAAGAGGAGGACAAGGAGGAACCUGCGACUUCUGCACCCUCUGUCAAGGUGGGUCUCACGUGCACUCCUCUCUGGCCCUCCUAGGGUACCUGGGGAUGGGCAGCAUGGAGGCCAGCCCAGACUGCCCUGUGGCUGAGCCCCUCAGGUCAGGCCUCCACUCACU
rnacentral:lncRNA from 1 species